CACAAGGGAGCGCACGGUCGACAUGUGGUGGUGAACCGGCCGGCCAGCCGAUGGCCGACUGGUGCCCUUCACGGCAUUGUCUCUUUUCCGAUGCUGCGGCGCCGGCCAUUGGUGGCCGAUUACCUAAGGUUUUGGUCUUUACGACCCCGAACAUUAGCAAUCGCUCGCCGCCGGUCUCAUGAGGUGGGGAACCGGCGGCAAUUUUCUUACUUUAAAGCUGACGCCUUUACGACCCCGGACAUCAGCAACUGCUCGCCGCCGGCCGGUCUCUCUCAUCGCCACCGCGCGCCGAGUUAAGUGACGUUUGGACCGAGCAUCAUGUCAAGUCGGCCGUCUACAGAGCAGCAAAGGGCCUUGAUCUAGGCAAAGGCCCAUGCCCAACAGCAGGAUCAGCGAGGGUGAGGGGGAGAGGUGUUAGAGGGACAUCGACCGGCAAGCAUCGCCAUUGCUGCCAUCAGGAUGAGCCAAUCCUGCCUUCUGAUGCUGGGAAUAUCAGCUACUUCAUGUCCCUCUGGUAGUCAUGAGCAGAGUCCCC
rnacentral:lncRNA from 1 species